AUAUUGUUUAUUUAUUUAUUAUAUAUAUUUUUUAUAUUGUAAAUUUACUUAAUAUUUAUUUUCUAUUUUUUAAAUAAUAAAUGUCACAUGUCAUAUUUUGGGAGAAUUUUUUUCGGUGAUAUGGACGUUUUAUAGAGCCUCGAAAAGUCAUUUUUAUUAGUAUAGAUUCACAAGUUUGCCUUUAAAAAUUAUUUCUUUUUUCUUGGUCAAAAGAUUUUUUUUUUUAAAAAAAAAAUCCAAAAACCUUUAUGGGUGAAGACUACUAACCCUAAUUCACAUUCACCUCCAUCUUUCUCGUUUUCUGUGGCAUCGGAGGAUGUGAAGACGAGCGAAUAGGCGAUUGUUAAUCAAGCGAAACUAGAGAGUGAAGGAGUUAAAGCUCCGAGCAAUGCCAUUAUCGGGAUCUGUCGAAGACUGAUGUUACUCCGUUGGAGAGACUGAAAUUCUUGUUUGAUUGACAUUAAUGAAUCUUUCUGUUGGAGUGUUGAUGCUAUUUUGCGUUUUCUGUCCAUAGCCUGAAACUCAAAAAAAGUCAGGGAAGGCCAAAGAAAUGCAAAAGGAAGUGACGAAGAAGAAGCAGAGAAAAGAGGAAAGGACAGAGUUGUUGCAUGUACUUGCUUUGUGUCUAAUUUGAGACGCCACUGUUUUGGCAUUGAUUUCUUAUCUCUGUUUCUUCUUCUUUUAUAAAAGCAUGGUGUGAACAGGGGCAGAACCAGAAUUGUUUUGAACAUGGGGCAUAUAAAGAUGUUUAAGCAAAUUUUAAUAUUAACUAUUAA